rnacentral:rRNA from 1 species
UACAGAGGUCCCAAGCGUUGUUCGGAUUCACUGGGCGUAAAGGGUGCGUAGGCGGUCGGGUAAGUCUGAUGUGAAAUCUCACAGCUUAACUGUGAAACUGCAUUGGAUACUAUCCGGCUCGAGGAAUGGAGGGGAGACUGGAAUACUUGGUGUAGCAGUGAAAUGCGUAGAUAUCAGGAAGAACACCCGUGGCUAAGGCGGCUCUCUAGUACGGUACUGACGCUGAGGCGCGAAAGCGUGGGGAGCAAACAGG